GGGUGACCGGUCACACUGGGACUGAGACACGGCCCAGACUCCUACGGGAGGCAGCAGUGGGGAAUAUUGCACAAUGGGCGCAAGCCUGAUGCAGCAACGCCGCGUGAGGGAUGACGGCCUUCGGGUUGUAAACCUCUUUUAGCAGGGAAGAAGCGAAAGUGACGGUACCUGCAGAAGAAGCUCCGGCCAACUACGUGCCAGCAGCCGCGGUAAUACGUAGGGAGCGAGCGUUGUCCGGAAUUAUUGGGCGUAAAGAGCUCGUAGGCGGUUCAGUAAGUCGGGUGUGAAAACUCAAGGCUCAACCUUGAGACGCCACUCGAUACUGCUGUGACUUGAGUCCGGUAGAGGAGUGUGGAAUUCCUGGUGUAGCGGUGAAAUGCGCAGAUAUCAGGAGGAACACCAGCGGCGAAGGCGGCACUCUGGGCCGGUACUGACGCUGAGGAGCGAAAGCAUGGGGAGCAAACAGGAUUAGAUACCCUGGUAGUCCAUGCCGUAAACGUUGGGCACUAGGUAUGGGAUCAUAUCAACGGGUUCCGUGCCGUAGCUAACGCAUUAAGUGCCCCGCCUGGGGAGUACGG
rnacentral:rRNA from 1 species